UACUGUGUCCUCCUAUCCAUGG
rnacentral:miRNA from 1 species